AUUGAACGCUGGCGGCAUGCCUUACACAUGCAAGUCGAACGGUAACAGGUCUUCGGAUGCUGACGAGUGGCGAACGGGUGAGUAAUACAUCGGAACGUGCCUAGUAGUGGGGGAUAACUACUCGAAAGAGUGGCUAAUACCGCAUGAGAUCUACGGAUGAAAGCAGGGGAUCACAAGACCUUGUGCUACUAGAGCGGCCGAUGGCAGAUUAGGUAGUUGGUGGGAUAAAAGCUUACCAAGCCGACGAUCUGUAGCUGGUCUGAGAGGACGAUCAGCCACACUGGGACUGAGACACGGCCCAGACUCCUACGGGAGGCAGCAGUGGGGAAUUUUGGACAGUGGGCGCAAGCCUGAUCCAGCAAUGCCGCGUGCAGGAUGAAGGCCUUCGGGUUGUAAACUGCUUUUGUACGGAACGAAAAGCCCCGGGUUAAUACCCUGGGGUCAUGACGGUACCGUAAGAAUAAGCACCGGCUAACUACGUGCCAGCAGCCGCAGUAA
rnacentral:rRNA from 1 species